AUCCAAUUAGGGUUUCGUGUUGAUCCCCCAAACCUCAAUUCCCCUUUCUCGUUUCGUUUUUACUUUUCUUUAAACCCUAAUUUGAACUUCAAUACCGAAGAUUCAGUAUCUCUCUGGUUUCAAAUUUUGAGUUGCUGUUAUGGGCGCUACGGAGAAAUCGCAGACUAACGUUAAUUCGUUACAGGCAAGUUUGCUUUUUUCAGCUUUAUAGUUUAUUUGAUUUGAUAUUUGAUGUGAUUCUAGUUAAUGCUUUUUUUGUUUUAUUUUUAAUAUUUGAUGUGUUUAGAGAAUUACAGCUUAAGCUUCGAUUUGAUUUAUUCGCUGAGUUAGUGAUGAAGUUGGAUGAAUUUUUGAAUCUUUGAAUUAAUAAGUGUUAGUUAGUUAGUUAGAACUUGUAAAUUUAGUUGAACUGUCUUUUUAUUUUAUUUUAUUUGUGAAUCUUUUUAGGAUUUGGAAAUAGAUGAUAGUAAAUUAAUGUGAUCAAAUCAUAAUGAUUGAGCUAGUGAUGAGGGAGUUUGAGUAGUUUGCAUGAUGUCAUUGGUUCGAAUCUCGUUUUUCAUUAUUGUAUAUGGAAUGAAAUUGAUUGUGAGAUUUGUUAAGGAGUUCCUUUGAAGCGUUGAUUAAGGAAAUAAAAGUAUUAAGUAUUAAAUGAAAGGUUAAGCAUGUAAGCAAUGCGAAUAGUUUCUUUAAAUAGUUAGAAGCAUUUAAUACACUGUUUAUU
rnacentral:lncRNA from 1 species